GAAAGCCCGAGUUGGGACAAUGGUUCUGCCAUGUACCAGCUGUGUGACCUUGGCCAUGUCACUGAACCUCUUCUCAUCUGUGAAGUGGGCAUAGCAAUUGUAUCUACCUCGUAGGAUUAUUCUCAGGCUUCAAUGAGUAACAAGUGCAAAGCACUUUAGCCCAGUGCCUGGUCCCUGGCAGGUGCUGGAUAAAAUAAGAGGCUUAUGCUUGCCAUUGCACAACUUCAG
rnacentral:lncRNA from 1 species